AUUGAACGCUGGCGGCAGGCUUAACACAUGCAAGUCGAGCGGGGUGAUGGUGCUUGCACUAUCACUUAGCGGCGGACGGGUGAGUAAUGCUUAGGAAUCUGCCUAUUAGUGGGGGACAACAUCUCGAAAGGGAUGCUAAUACCGCAUACGUCCUACGGGAGAAAGCAGGGGAUCACUUGUGACCUUGCGCUAAUAGAUGAGCCUAAGUGGGAUUAGCUAGUUGGUGGGGUAAAGGCCUACCAAGGCGACGAUCUGUAGCGGGUCUGAGAGGAUGAUCCGCCACACUGGGACUGAGACACGGCCCAGACUCCUACGGGAGGCAGCAGUGGGGAAUAUUGGACAAUGGGGGGAACCCUGAUCCAGCCAUGCCGCGUGUGUGAAGAAGGCCUUAUGGUUGUAAAGCACUUUAAGCGAGGAGGAGGCUCUUUUGGUUAAUACCCAAGAUGAGUGGACGUUACUCGCAGGAUAAGCACCGGCUAACUCUGUGCCAGCCGCCGCAGUAA
rnacentral:rRNA from 1 species